rnacentral:rRNA from 1 species
UCCGUAGGCGGGUAAUUAAGUCAGAGGUGAAAUCCCACAGCUUAACUGUGGAACUGCCUUAGAUACUGGUUAUCUUGAGUUUUAGUGAAGUAGAUAGAAUGUGUAGUGUAGCGGUGAAAUGCAUAGAUAUUACACAGAAUACCGAUUGCGAUGGCAGUCUACUAACUAACAACUGACGCUAAUGGACGAAAGCGUGGGGAGCGAACAGGAUUAGAUACCCUGGUAGUCC